GCUGGGCAUAGUGGUGCAUGCCUGUAAUCCCAGUAACUUGGGAGGCUGAGGCAGAAGGAUCACAAGUUCAAAGCUCAACAAUUUACUGAGGCCCUAAGCAACUUAGUGAGACCCUGUUUUAA
rnacentral:sRNA from 1 species